UACGUAGGGUGCAAGCGUUGUCCGGAAUUAUUGGGCGUAAAGAGCUCGUAGGCGGUCUGUUGCGUCGGCUGUGAAAACCCGGGGCUCAACUCCGGGCCUGCAGCCGAUACGGGCAGACUAGAGUUCGGCAGGGGAGACUGGAAUUCCUGGUGUAGCGGUGAAAUGCGCAGAUAUCAGGAGGAACACCGGUGGCGAAGGCGGCAUCCUGGACCAACACUGACGCUGAGGAGCGAAAGCCAGGGGAGCAAACGGG
rnacentral:rRNA from 1 species